rnacentral:rRNA from 1 species
GUGAGGAAUAUUGGUCAAUGGGCGGGAGCCUGAACCAGCCAAGUCGCGUGAAGGAAGAAGGAUCUAUGGUUCGUAAACUUCUUUUGCAGGGGAAUAAAGUGCAGGACGUGUCCUGUUUUGUAUGUACCCUGAGAAUAAGGAUCGGCUAACUCCGUGCCAGCAGCCGCGGUAAUACGGAGGAUCCGAGCGUUAUCCGGAUUUAUUGGGUUUAACGGGUGCGUAGGUGGUUUGAUAAGUCAGCGGUGAAAGUUUGCAGCUUAACUGUAAAAAUGCCGUUGAAACUGUCGGACUUGAGUGUAAAUGAGGUAGGCGGAAUGCGUGGUGUAGCGGUGAAAUGCAUAGAUAUCACGCAGAACUCCGAUUGCGAAGGCAGCUUACUAAGCUACAACUGACACUGAAGCACGAAAGCGUGGGGAUCAAACAGGAUUAGAUACCCCUGUAGUCC